rnacentral:rRNA from 1 species
ACGAACGCUGGCGGCGUGCUUAACACAUGCAAGUCGAACGGAAAGGCCCUGCUUUUGUGGGGUGCUCGAGUGGCGAACGGGUGAGUAACACGUGAGUAACCUGCCCUUGACUUUGGGAUAACUUCAGGGAACUGGGGCUAAUACCGGAUAGGAGCUCCUGCUGCAUGGUGGGGGUUGGAAAGUUUCGGCGGUUGGGGAUGGACUCGCGGCUUAUCAGCUUGUUGGUGGGGUAGUGGCUUACCAAGGCUUUGACGGGUAGCCGGCCUGAGAGGGUGACCGUCCACAUUGGGACUGAGAUACGGCCCAGACUCCUACGGGAGGCAGCAGUGGGGAAUAUUGCACAAUGGGCGGAAGCCUGAUGCAGCAACGCCGCGUGCGGGAUGACGGCCUUCGGGUUGUAAACCGCUUUCGCCUGUGACGAAGCGUGAGUGACGGUAAUGGGUAAAGAAGCACCGGCUAACUACGUG